GUCACAAUUCAUUAUUAUAGUAAACAAUAUCAUUUCAUAAAUAGACAAAAAGAUCAUCAACAUCGAAAUUGAAAAUCAUAUACCAAUGAUUCACUGAAUACAACGGAUCAAUUCAAAGUUAUUUGAACAAUGGCAAUCCAAAAAAAAAAAAAAAAAAUUUCUUCUGUUGCUCUCUUUUUAACUUGUUUAUUCAAAUUUCAAUCUAAAAAUUCAUUAUUAUAUCGAUGUCGAAUUUUCUCUCUGAAAUUUUCAACCCUUUUUUUGUGUGUUGAACCAAAUUAAUAAUGUGCCCAUAAAAUCAUUGAACAUGAACAAACAAAGGACAUGACUAUUAUUAUUGACCGAGUACAAUGUUUGUCCCGUUUCAUAUGAUUGAUCUAAAUAAUUUUCCUGAUCAUCAUCACCAAUGAUUAGAGAAAGAGAGAGAGAGAAGCCUAAUCAUUAACAUCAUUGGAUCGAUACAAAACAAAAAACGGAUAUUCAUUCAAUGGGCAAGAUAUCUGUGUACGAUAACUAUUGCAAUAUAGGAUGCUAACUUAUUAAUGAUGAUCAUCAUCAUCAUCAUCAUCAAUAUUAUUUUAUACAUCCUCAUAUUUGUUGGAAAAAAAAUAAUCAGCUGCAAUAAUUUAGAUUAAAACAAUAUGUGGCCAUCAUUAUUUCUAUGGUACAUGCCACCGCCACGGAACAUAACUAACAUUAUAUAUUAUAUUAUGAAUGAUAAUGAUGACGAAUAUGGUCGAAAUAAAUUCGAAUGUAUAAAAAAUCAAUAGUAAUAGUAAUAACAAAGACGAUGAAGAAAUACAAAAUUUUGAAGUCGAAAAUAACAUCAAUAAAAUAUAGAAAACAUUUAUAUAUUUUGAAUCGUUAAACGAAUAACCGUGUAUAGUCCGUACUAUCUGUUUAUUGGACUCUCUCCUAAUAUCCAUCCAGCUAUCAUCAACCGAACAAACGAACGAUGAUGAUGAUACAUUUCGGAUGUUCGGGAAAACAGAAAUGAAAUAGUUUCGUUCAACUAUGUUUCUAAGAGUGAGAGUAUUUUGCCGUAUCAAAUAUCUUGGGAUCACUCUAAAAUGAUAGUGAAAGAGAAUUUCGUUUUUUUUGGCGCUUACCGUUCAAAAUCAUUCUCUAUUCAUACUUUUAAUCGUAAUGACCAAACAUCAACCACCACCAAAAAGAUGUGGUCGUGGUAGAUUUUAUGAAAUGAAUUGUAGAUAGAACAUCAUCAUCAUCAUCAUCAUCUUGUUGAUGAUGUGUGGUAUAUAAAUGGAAAACAUCUUCAAUCCAUUUAGGAUUCGUAUUCGUAGAAACUUUGUUCAUCUUCAAAUGGUUUUUUAUUUUUAUUUUAUUUGGUGAAUGGUUUAAUUGUUUUUUUUUCACUGAAAUUAAU